GCGCUCUUAGUUCAGUUCGGUAGAACGCAGGUCUCCAAAACCUGAUGUCGUAGGUUCAAAUCCUACAGGGCGUG
rnacentral:tRNA from 7 species